rnacentral:rRNA from 1 species
UACGGGGGGGACUAACGUUAUUCAUCAUAACUGGGCGUAAAGGGUACGUAGGUGGCUUUGUAAGUCUCGAUUAAAGAAUCUAAGCAUAACUUAGAAAUUAUUCUUGAUACUGCUAAGCUCGAGGUCGAAAGAGGUUAGUUAUAUUCUUGAAGUAAAAGUAAAAUCUUUAGAUAUUAAGAGGAUAACCAAGUGGUUAAUGCGAACUUUCUGGUUCGACGCUGACGCUGAGGUACGAAGGCAUGGGUAUCAAACGGG